rnacentral:rRNA from 1 species
AUUGAACGCUGGCGGCAGGCCUAACACAUGCAAGUCGAACGGUAACAGGAAGAAGCUUGCUUCUUUGCUGACGAGUGGCGGACGGGUGAGUAAUGUCUGGGAAACCGCCUGAUGGAGGGGGAUAACUACUGGAAACGGUAGCUAAUACCGCAUAACGUCGCAAGACCAAAGAGGGGGACCUUCGGGCCUCUUGCCAUCGGAUGUGCCCAGAUGGGAUUAGCUAGUAGGUGGGGUAACGGCUCACCUAGGCGACGAUCCCUAGCUGGUCUGAGAGGAUGACCAGCCACACUGGAACUGAGACACGGUCCAGACUCCUACGGGAGGCAGCAGUGGGGAAUAUUGCACAAUGGGCGCAAGCCUGAUGCAGCCAUGCCGCGUGUAUGAAGAAGGCCUUCGGGUUGUGAAGUACUUUCAGCGGGGAGGAAGGGAGUAAAGUUAAUACCUUUACUCAUUGACGUUACCCGCAGAAGAAGCACCGGCUAACUCCGUG